AAUUUAUUUUAAAGGGACUGACAACCAAUCUUUAAGGACCUAGUUUUUCAUGGUGCAACAAAAAGCUCACUCUCAGUAGUGUUUACACCUGUAGCAAUUACUUCAAAAAGCCCGUUGAUAUUUUGUAAGGAGAAUUUUUCUAUCUGAGCAGCCCCUAAAAAAGUAAGAGUCCCUCCUCUAGCAAUGCUGAGAAGUGAGCGCAAUGCCGAUAGCCCGCUUUGCAAAUUGUGAAAGCCAGCGAUCGCACUACUU
rnacentral:lncRNA from 1 species